rnacentral:rRNA from 1 species
GUCCACGCCUUAAACGAUGAGUGCUAGUUGUUGGGGCGCUUGCGCCUCAGUGACGCAGCUAACGCAUUAAGCACUCCGCCUGGGGAGUACGGCCGCAAGGUUAAAAACUCAAAGGAAUUGACGGGGGCCCCGCACAAGCGGUGGAGCAUGUGGUUUAAUUCGAAGCAACGCGAAGAACCUUACCAACCCUUGACAUGGGAAGUAUGGGUGUCAGAAACGGCACCCUUCAGUUCGGCUGGCUUCCACACAGGUGCUGCAUGGCUGUCGU